rnacentral:rRNA from 1 species
CAGAGCCGCGGUAAUACGUAGGUGGCAAGCGUUGUCCGGAAUUAUUGGGCGUAAAGGGCUCGCAGGCGGUUUCUUAAGUCUGAUGUGAAAGCCCCCGGCUCAACCGGGGAGGGUCAUUGGAAACUGGGAAACUUGAGUGCAGAAGAAGAGAGUGGAAUUCCACGUGUAGCGGUGAAAUGCGUAGAGAUGUGGAGGAACACCAGUGGCGAAGGCGACUCUCUGGUCUGUAACUGACGCUGAGGAGCGAAAGCGUGGGGAGCGAACAGGAUUAGAUACCCGAGUAGUCCCUGUCUCUUAUACC